rnacentral:rRNA from 1 species
CAGCUUGACACUGAACUUUGACCUUACUUGUGUAGGAUAGGUGGGAGGCUUUGAAGCUGGAACGCUAGUUCCAGUGGAGCCGUCCUUGAAAUACCACCCUGGUAAUGUUGAGGUUCUAACUCUGUCCCGUGAUCCGGGACGAGGACCGUGUCUGGUGGGUAGUUUGACUGGGGCGGUCUCCUCCUAAAGAGUAACGGAGGAGUACGAAGGUGCGCUCAGCGUGGUCGGAAAUCACGCGUAGAGUAUAAAGGCAAAAGCGCGCUUAACUGCGAGACCCACAAGUCGAGCAGGUACGAAAGUAGGUCUUAGUGAUCCGGUGGUUCUGUAUGGAAGGGCCAUCGCUCAACGGAUAAAAGGUACUCUGGGGAUAACAGGCUGAUACCGCCCAAGAGUUCAUAUCGACGGCGGUGUUUGGCACCUCGAUGUCGGCUCAUCUCAUCCUGGGGCUGAAGCAGGUCCCAAGGGUAUGGCUGUUCGCCAUUUAAAGAGGUACGCGAGCUGGGUUUAGAACGUCGUGAGACAGUUCGGUCCCUAUCUACCGUGGGCGCUGGAAAUUUGAGAGGAUCUGCUCCUAGUACGAGAGGACCAGAGUGGACGAACCUCUGGUGUACCGGUUGUGACGCCAGUCGCAUCGCCGGGUAGCUAUGUUCGGAAGGGAUAACCGCUGAAAGCAUCUAAGCGGGAAGCCUACCUCAAGAUAAGAUUUCCCUAGGACUUUAUGUCCUCUAAAGAGCCGUUCGAGACUAGGACGUUGAUAGGUUGGAUGUGGAAGCAUAGUGAUAUGUGAAGCUGACCAAUACUAAUUGCUCGUGAGGCUUGACUAUACAACACCCAAGCAGUUG